GUUGGGAUGACAGAGUUAGGUUAGUGUGUAAGGCCUAAGCCCUUCUUACAGAGGUUCGAGUCCUCUUCUCAACU
rnacentral:tRNA from 1 species